CACGUAGGGCGCAAGCGUUGUCCGGAAUUAUUGGGCGUAAAGAGCUCGUAGGCGGACUGUCACGUCUGCUGUGAAAAGCUAGGGCUUAACCCUGGCCUUGCAGUGGAUACGGGCAGACUAGAGGUAGGUAGGGGAGAAUGGAAUUCCCGGUGUAGCGGUGAAAUGCGCAGAUAUCGGGAGGAACACCGGUGGCGAAGGCGGUUCUCUGGGCCGUAACUGACGCUGAGGAGCGAAAGCAUGGGGAGCGAACAGG
rnacentral:rRNA from 1 species